rnacentral:rRNA from 1 species
AUGAAUGUGGCGUUGCUAACUAAGUGGUGGUGGCGUCUUGCCCAAAACGAGUCGGGGCUCUGGGCAGACAUCCUUCGAGCUAAAUAUUUCCCGGAGGGGAAUUUGUUCAAGGCUAAAAUCAACGGUUCGGCCUUUUGGAACGGGAUCCAAGCGGUUCGACCGGCGUUUUCAGUUGGUGCGCAGUUCCGGGUAAACAACGGCAAGUCCACACGGUUCUGGCUCGACCAUUGGUGGGGUCAGGGGCCGUUAUGGCAUUCUCAUCCGGAAUUGUACCAAUUGGCAACGGACACUACCAUUUUCGUGGCCGAUGCUCUACGCGUCCACCCUCCAGCCAUAUCGUUCAUCAGGAAUCUAGAGCCCAGGGAGGCUGCAAGCUGGGACGCUCUGUCGGUCGACUUGGGUGGUCUGAACCGUAGCACUGGGGCGGACACGAUCUCGUGGAAGUUGACCGCUUCUAAGAGAUUUUCGGUCAAGUCCUUAUAUGACAAGUUAUCUUCGGGACCUACAUUAGAUAUAGCUAGGGGGCUAUGGAAGGCUGCCAUUCCUCUCAAAAUCAAGAUCUUCUUUUGGCAAAUGUUUCGCAACCGCUUACCUACGUCGGACAACGUUGCCAAACGAAAUGGGCCGGCGGACGGCACGUGCACCACUUGCGGUUUAGGGGAAAACGCGAACCACGUUUUCUUUGGUUGUGUGCUUGCUAGAUUUGCGUGGAGUGCGGUGAGAGACGCAUUCAAUCAAAAUUGGAACCCUCAAUCUAGCCACGAUAUGCUGUCUAUCUUAACGGCGCAAAGAGGGGCCAAUGCUAGGAUAGUUUGGAGAUGCGUUGGGGCGCUUCUUUGGUCCCUCUGGACGGUUCGUAACAAAAUUACGAUUGAACACAAGUUCCCGACCCACCCCGCUGAUAUUAUCUUCAAAUGCCAUAUUUUCCUUCAGGUUUGGGCUCCACUGGGGAAGAAGCGUGACAUCGAGCGCAUGAAAGAGGCCAUGGAGCUGAUCAAGACAACCAUGAUGAAGGCGCGGCACGGGACGAUGGCUUGA